rnacentral:lncRNA from 1 species
CUUAGAUCACAGACUGGCCUCCUUCUUGGUGUCAGCAACAUGGAUCUUAUCCAGACAGACAAUAUCCAGAAGAAUAUAAAAUCCCUAUCUUCCUGCGACACAGGAGUAUGGAAACCAUUUCCAGACCUAUCUUUGGAGUCAUUUCCAGGGAAGGGAAGGAACAACACACUGAAUGAGGACAUGUCCACCUCAGGGGAGCCAGGACUUUUUCUCAGUAAGCCCUGAUACCUUGAUGUGAGAAGGCCAAGAAGAAGCCUAUAGAGAUGCCCACAAGAGGAGACUAAAGCUGAGAGAAACUGAGGCCCCUGGCCCUAGAGCUUUCACUGAGCUCCAGCUGACAACCAUCAUCAAAUCACCAGCCAUGUGACUGUGCCAUGAUGGGAGGGAAUCACCCAGUGUCCAAAUGAUCUGAUGCCACAUGUAAAAGAGAAGAGCCUUCCCCUUUGAGCCCUGCCCAGAUUGCUACUCUGCACCAAGUAAGUGGUGGCUGUUAUCUUAAGCCACUAGCAUUUAAGAUUUUAUUUUUUUGGGUGCAGGGUGGGAGUUGGUGUGACAUAGCAAUUGAUGACCAGGAUAGAACCAAAAAGGGAUUAUUUACUUAGCCAGAGUUACUUAAGAGAGUUCUGCUGUUCCUUUGGCCAAGAAAUUGAACAUUUUUAUUAGUACUACAUUUUGUAUUAUGUGAGUUCUCCAUGAUAUGUUACCUCCUUAAUAAACUAU